GUCCUUGCCGUAAACUAUGUAUACUUGAUGUAACCGGACUCAACCCUGGUUGUGUCGAAGCUAACGCGAUAAGUAUACCGCCUGGGAAGUACGCUCGCAAGGGUGAAACUCAAAAGAAUUGACGGGGACCCGCACAAGCAGUGGAGCAUGUGGUUUAAUUCGAUGCAACGCGAAGAACCUUACCCAGGUUUGACAUGCACAGGACGUAUCUAGAGAUAGAUAUUCCCUUCGGGGCCUGUGCACAGGUGCUGCAUGGCUGUCGU
rnacentral:rRNA from 1 species